rnacentral:rRNA from 1 species
GCUCGCGUUUUCACACAAACCCCCCUUUUAAAAGUGUAGAAUGACCUCAUGUAUGCGUUAACCCGCAAUCAAUACAACUUUCAACAACGGAUCUCUUGGCUCUCGCAUCGAUGAAGAACGCAGCGAAAUGCGAUACGUAAUGUGAAUUGCAGAAUUCAGUGAAUCAUCGAAUCUUUGAACGCACCUUGCGCCCCUUGGUAUUCCGAGGGGCACACCCGUUUGAGUGUCGUGAAAACCUCAACCUCCUUGGUUUCUUCUGGAGACCAAAGCAGGCUUGGACUUUGGAGGCCUUUGCUGGCACCUCUCUUUCUGAAGGCCAGCUCCUCAUUAAACAAAUUAGCAGGGUCCUCUUUGCUGAUCCUCGACGUGUGAUAAGAUGUUUCCAUGUCUUGGUUUCUGGCUCUGUCACCUUUGGGACCUGCUUCUAACUGUCCGGACCUUGCGUCGAGACAACGUUCGAGCAUGUGCCUCCCUUCUUGGGAAGCUCCCUCGACCCCACGAACCCUUGACCUCAAAUCGGGUGAGACUACCCGCUGAACUUAAGCAUAUCAAU